CUGGAAACGGCGGUUUAAUACUGGAUAUGAGCUGCGAUCGCAUGGUCAGUAGCUGGAAAAGAUUUUUUGGUCAGGGAUGAGCUCGCGGCCYAUCAGGCUUGUUGGUGAGGUAAUGGCUCACCAAGGGCGUCGACGGGUAGCCSGCCUGAGAGGGUGACCGGCCACACUGGGACUGAGACACGGCCCAGACUCCUACGGGAGGCAGCAGUGGGGAAUAUUGCACAAUGGGCGCAAGCCUGAUGCAGCAACGCCGCGUGAGGGAUGACGGCCUUCGGGUUGUAAACCUCUUUUAGCAGGGAAGAAGCGAAAGUGACGGUACCUGCAGAAAAAGCGCCGGCUAACUACGUGCCAGCAGCCGCGGUAAUACGUAGGGCGCAAGCGUUAUCCGGAAUUAUUGGGCGUAAAGAGCUCGUAGGCGGUUUGUCGCGUCUGCUGUGAAAUCCCGAGGCUCAACCUCGGGUCUGCAGUGGGUACGGGCAGACUAGAGUGCGGUAGGGGAGAUUGGAAUUCCUGGUGUAGCGGUGGAAUGCGCAGAUAUCAGGAGGAACACCGAUGGCGAAGGCAGAUCUCUGGGCCGUAACUGACGCUGAGGAGCGAAAGGGUGGGGAGCAAACAGGCUUAGAUACCCUGGUAGUCCACCCCGUAAACGUUGGGAACUAGUUGUGGGGUCCAUUCCACGGAUUCCGUGACGCA
rnacentral:rRNA from 1 species